rnacentral:tRNA from 1 species
GGUUUUAUAGUUUAAUAAAAAUGUGGGUUUUGUAGUCCUAAGAUAACGGUUUUGUUUUUAACCU